rnacentral:rRNA from 1 species
UACGGAGGGUGCGAGCGUUGUCCGGAAUCACUGGGCGUAAAGGGCGCGUAGGCGGCCACGCACGUCCGUUGUGAAAUCGCCCGGCUCGACUGGGCGGGGUCAGCGGAUACGGCAGAGCUUGAGCAAGCUAGGGGGCAAUGGAAUUCCCGGUGUAGUGGUGGAAUGCGUAGAUAUCGGGAGGAACACCAGUGGCGAAGGCGGUUGCCUGGGGCUUUGCUGACGCUGAUGCGCGAAAGCGUGGGGAGCGAUCCGG